UUAAAAUCAAAAGCGCCAUUUUUCUUAUUCGUUUAGCUGUUCUGUUUCUUUGUCGUCUUUUUGAUAAAAAUACUUUUAUAUGCAAAAAUGGAUGAGCUUGUAAAGACACAAUUACAUAAAAACAGUUCAACGUUCAAACUUUCCCUGGAUCGAAUCAUAGACAAGUAUUCAAAACUUCAGUACCAGGACGCGGGGGUAGAGGUUGAUCUCGACGAUAUAAGCCCAACAAGUAAGUAAGCCGGUAACCAUCCUACUUUGGCAAAACGUCCUACCGUAAGUAGUUUAUGCACAUUUCUGCUGUCACAGAGUAAUUCCAGCACCAAUUUAAGUAGGUAUGACGGUUUGCCACUUAACUUUGCCCAUCAGAGUAUACUUGUAGCUCAUAUGCAUACAGCCAGGAUGGUUUGCCACUUCAUUUUACCCGUUAGAGUAUGCUUGUAGGUAACAUUCACAAAGGUAGCAUGGUUUGGCAGUUAAUUUUACCCGUCAGAGUAUGUGUGUAGCUGUUAUUAACAAAGGUAGGACGGUUUGCCACUGAAUUUCGUGUUGUGCGCAUGCGCAGAAACAACGGGUAGGCUGGUUUGCCAGGUAGGAUGGAUUCCCAGAACACCUGGAAGGUUUUAAUAACAUCGUGUGUGUUAGUAAAGGUAACCGGACACUAACUAAUUAGAUACGUUUGUUAGCUCGAUCUAUUACAGGAGUGGUUUUCUUUCUGGAAUAAUGAAGUUCAGUAUUAUUUAUAUAGUGUUAAUUCACAGCAAUAGUCGCCUGAAGGGCCUUUUAAUACAAUUAAAAAAGGACUUUAUUUUACACCUUUGAAAAGUGUUUUUAGUUUGCAAAGCAGUUUGACAGACAAGCAAAAGCUGAAUACUAAAUUCAGAAACAGUGAAAAAUGGAAAACAAAAAUUGAGAUGAGAGGACAAUAAAGUGAGAUAAUAGUAGGGAGUUGGUGGAAGAGAGCCUGGAGAGGUGGAUGUGUGCUCUGGAGAGAAGAGGAUUAAAAGUCAGAUAGAAAUGUGUGUGGAUGAAGAUGCAACGAGUAGAGUUAAGGAAGGUAGAUGAGUUUAAAUACCUUGGGGUGAGUGAGACCUGCAAUGUGUACUUUAGAGAUGGUGACACUGACAAAAAAGACGGGAAGCACAGCUGGAGGUGGCAGAGUUGAAGAUGUUAAGAUUGUCAUUGGGAGUCACCUGGAUGAACAUGACUUGCAAUGAGUUCAUCAGAGGGACAGCUCUGGUUUACUGGUUUGGACAUUAUUUAAAGAGGCAAGGCUGAGAUGGUUUGGACAUGUGCAGAGGAGGUAUAGUGGAUAUACUGGACAGAGGAUGUGUUGAAGGAGGACAUGCAGAUGAUUGAUGUGAUAGAGCCGAAAGAUGGGCUGAGAUGAAGGUAGAUAAUUUGCUGUGGCAAUCCCUAAAGGGAGCAAAGAAGAAGAACAAAAGAGAGAAGACACAUGAACACAAAUUUAUGAAAAGGUGACUUUAAGGAAGUCCUUACCUUUAGAUUUAUGCCAAACAGCACCUGACCUGAGGAUCUAAGACUGUGAAGUGGCU
ensembl:lncRNA